rnacentral:lncRNA from 1 species
CAUCGGGGAGGCUUUUAGGGUUCAGGUUCAUCCAUCAAACCAGAAGAGGACAGAGUGGGCGUUCAGGAAGUGGAAGUGGAGGAAAGCCGCGGCGUGCAAAUGAAAACCCGCCCAACCCGCGUGACAACAACGAGCCCAAAAAGCGACGCCUCUUUUCCUCAGGUGAGCGAACAGGUAUCCUUCAGGUGAGCAGCCUUUGAGUCACAGUGUGGGCGGAGCAGAGGUAAGAAGCCACGUUUCACACCUGGAGGAGUGACAUCAUCGGGGUUCAACGGGAGAAAAACAAAAAGAACCACAAAAGACAAAUGCUGCCUUCAGGGGCCGUCAGAAAUGUUGAAUUAGCAACCGAGUCGAACUUGAUGUGCCGCUUUAGUUCUAUUUUACAACUACGGAAAACCACAUCUACCCUUUUAUUAUCGUCACAGAUAUAAGAGUGAUGGGAAUCUUCUCGACUCUCCACCAGAAAGCAAUUUCCCGAAGUGCGAUCUUUUUUGCUUGAUUGCAUGCAAAAAAAGAAACGUUGAACCGGGUCCAACGCAGCGCAGCGUCGUACGGCAUGACCCCCGACCCCCGACCUCCUCACCGACUGGGCGGUACCGGAAACACCCAAAAGAGCGGCGCUACUUCCACCGGACGAGAGCUAUUUUAAAAAUCGGCCGAUGUCUCGGGGCGUCAACAUCAUUCAUCUACGUCACGUGCACGCCACAGGCACGCCACGUGCACGCCACGUGCACGCCGACACGACUCUGAACACAUAUUUACAGAAAAGUGAGCUCUGGAGGCCGACAGACGGAGGCCAGAUGAGGCUUUGAAGAGGAGAUAAUUAUCCUGCACCGCGCCCAGCACACCACCCAAUGACAUCAAUCUUCCUCUGGUGACGGGGAAAUGAGUGAGUGUGUGUGUGUGUGUGUGUGUGUGUGUGUAAAGGACAUGUGGAAAGAUUGGAGCCGGCCGUCCACGCCUACAAGUGCUCCACAAAAACCUCCCGCAUGUGACCUCAAAAGUCGUAAAGUUUGACUUGCAUCACAUUUAAAAGGCGUUUUUUGUGUGUGUGUGUGUGUGUGUGUGUGUUAACAACUUGGACCCCUUUAAAAAUAAACUAAUUUAAGGGUGGCUGCUGUCGUAUUUUAGGAACAUUUUGGCAACGAGGAAGAGAAAAUAACUUGCUGCGAACUUGCAUUUGAAGUGAGGUACAAAAGAAAAAUAUAAAACUGACUGAAAUG